GAACUGCUGCCCUCAGCACCGGGAGAGCAGGGAGCAAGGGGCAUGUGGCUCCCUUAACGGGUCGACUCCUGCCCCAGCCUGCCAGGGUCGCCAUGCCUCCUCCCAUUUGCUUUUUAGGACUCGUUGAAAUAAGCAGAGCGUGGAAGUAGAGGCUCUGAAGGCAGUGAUGGACCCCCCAGGAAGCUGUUGGGGCCGCAUCAAAAUACAAAGCUUCUGCACAGCAAAGGCAACAAUCCACAAAACUAAAAGACAACCUACUGUAUUUGCAGCAUCAUUUAAAGAGCCACACUAUGGAAGCAAUAGAUGAAUGGAUAGAGAAGAUCUGGCAUGAAACCAGAAUGCGAUGUGUAUCACAGGCGGUCCUCCGAGAGAUUGCAAAGACGAGGAGGUUGUAGGCUGCUGUGUAGCCAAGCGGAUGCAGCCCACUACUUCCGUGCUCUCAGGAGAAAGUGCGACUACUCCUCAGGUAAGAGGCCCUGACAAUACUAUUUGUUACACACAGUUAUGAGGAGUGUAGAUUUAUAGUAAAUCUUGCAAUCAGGGAGUGUGAAUCCUCCAACUUUUUCUUGUUCAAAAUAGUUGUAGUUCUUUGUUUUCUUUGUAUAAAUUUUAGAAGAAGCUUGUGAAUAUCUACCAAAAAUCCCACUCGGAUUUUGACUGAGAUUGCGUUGCUCUGUUGAUGAAAUUAGGGGAGAAUUGACAUCUUAAUAAUAUUGAAUUUUCUUAUCCACAAACAUAGGCUAUCUCUCCAUUUAUUUAGGUCUUCUUUGAUUUUUCUCAUCAACAUUUGUAGUUUUCAGCAUUAAAAUCUUAGAUUUAUCCCAAAGUAGUUCAUGGUUUUUAAUGCUACUAUAAGAGUGCUGAUGAUUUAAUUCCAAUUUCCAAUGGUUCACUGCUGAUAAUGGAUCCUUGCAUGUUGACCUUGCAUUCUCCUACCUUGCUAAGCCAAUUUCUUAGUUCUGGAAUAUUUUUUCCCUUUUGGGGAUUUUCUGCAUAAAUAAUCAUGUCAUCUCUGAAUAAAGAGAACUUUAUUAUUUCCUUUACACUUUUUAUGACUUGUUUUUUUUGGUGGUGGUGGUGGUGGUGGUGGUUGUUUUCCCUUUCCUCAUUUCACUGGCUGGAUGUCCAAUAGGAUGCUGAACUGGAAUGAUAGGGUGGACAUCCUGGCCUUUUCCCGACCUUAAGGGGAAAGUCUCCAGCCUUAUGCUUCCUGUAUUCUUACUGAUUUUCUGUCUUUGUGUUUUACUGAAUACUAAGAAAGGAGGUUAAAGUCUCCAAGUACACUUUUGGGUUUAUCUGUCCUUUUGAUUAGUUUAGGUUUUGCUUCAUGUAUUUUGAAGAAGUUUUAGGUGCACACAUUUUUAGGAUUAUGAAGUCCUCCUGGUAAGUCGACAUAUUUAUCUUUCUGUAAUGUCUGUCUUUAUCUUUUUCUUAAAGAAAGAUUUAUUUAUUUAUUCGAGAGAGAGAGAGAGACAGAGAGAGCAUGAGCAAG